GCUCGAGGGACAGCACUGAGGGCCACUCUACCCUCACUCAGCCACCCACAGUCCACUCCUGCUUGGUCCAGCAGAGGAACAGUCAUCACAUGUCAUAUUUGCAAACUGUUAGAUGAGUAACGAAAGCAACCUCACUCUGUUUGGCCUGAUAGUUUAAUGUCUUUUUUCCACUUAUUUGAGGAUUAUCCGGAACAUCAACGCAGUGCAUACAACAUACAAUCAUCGAUGGUGUGUGCAGUACCUACAAGUUGGCACUUUACCAGUUACAAAGCAAUUUCAUACAUACUGCCUCAGACAGAAUCUAAUACCAGCCUGAAAGAUGAAUCAAGGAGGAAUUACUACAUAUGAGGAAAGGGAAGUCAAAAGAGAAGACUGAGGAUCAGAGUUUAAGGAAAAUUGCCCAAGGACAUCAGUCAAG